UACAGAGGGGGCAAGCGUUAUUCGGAAUUAUUGGGCGUAAAGGGCGCGUAGGCGGCUUGGCAAGUGGAUGGUGAAAUCCCUCGGCUUAACCGAGGAACUGCCGUCCAAACUGCUUCGCUUGAGACCGGGAGAGGUGAGUGGAAUUCCCAGUGUAGCGGUGAAAUGCGUAGAUAUUGGGAGGAACACCAGUGGCGAAGGCGGCUCACUGGACCGGUACUGACGCUGAUGCGCGAAAGCGUGGGGGAGCAAACAGG
rnacentral:rRNA from 1 species